rnacentral:misc_RNA from 1 species
GAUGAAGAACGUAGCGAAAUGCGAUAAGUAAUGUGAAUUGCAGAAUUCAGUGGAUCAUCGAAUCUUUGAACGCACAUUGCGCCCUCUGGUAUUCCGGGGGGCAUGCCUGUUCGAGCGUCAUUACAACCCUCAAGCUUUGCUUGGUAUUGGACAUUGCCAGUUUCUGGCAGGUCUUAAAAUCAGUGGCGGUGCCAUUUGGCUUCAAGCGUAGUAAUUCUUCUCGCUUUGGAGAUCCAAGUGGUUACUUGCCAAUAACCCCCAAUUUUUUCAGGUUGACCUCGGAUCAGGUAGGGAUACCCGCUGAACUUAAGCAUAUCAAUAAGCGGAGGA